rnacentral:rRNA from 1 species
CCUACGGGAGGCAGCAGUGGGGAAUAUUGGACAAUGGGGGGAACCCUGAUCCAGCCAUGCCGCGUGUGUGAAGAAGGCCCUCGGGUUGUAAAGCACUUUCAGUGAGGAAGAACGCCUGGUGGUUAAUACCCAUCAGGAAAGACAUCACUCACAGAAGAAGCACCGGCUAACUCCUUGCCAGCAGCCGCGGUAAUACGGAGGGUGCGAGCGUUAAUCGGAAUUACUGGGCGUAAAGCGCGCGUAGGUGGCUUGAUAAGCCGGUUGUGAAAGCCCCGGGCUCAACCUGGGAACGGCAUCCGGAACUGUCAAGCUAGAGUGCAGGAGAGGAAGGUAGAAUUCCCGGUGUAGCGGUGAAAUGCGUAGAGAUCGGGAGGAAUACCAGUGGCGAAGGCGGCCUUCUGGACUGACACUGACACUGAGGUGCGAAAGCGUGGGUAGCAAACAGGAUUAGAUACCCGUGUAGUC